UCAAAAACCACAAUUUCCACCUG
rnacentral:siRNA from 1 species